rnacentral:rRNA from 1 species
CCUACGGGGGGCAGCAGUGGGGAAUAUUGCACAAUGGGGGAAACCCUGAUGCAGCGACGCCGCGUGAGGGAAGAAGUAUCUCGGUACGUAAAGCUCUAUCAAUAGGGAAGAAAAUGACGGUAUCUGACUAAGAAGCCCCGGCUAACUCCGUGCCAGCAGCCGCGGUAAUACGUAGGGGGCAAGCGUUAUCCGGAUUUACUGGGUGUAAAGGGAGCGUAGGCGGCAGCGCAAGUCUGGAGUGAAAUCCCGGGGCUGAACCCCGGAACUGCAUUGGAAACUGUGCGUCUGGAGUGCAGGAGGGGUAAGCGGAAUUCGUGGUGUAGCGGUGAAAUGCGUAGAGAUUAGGAGGAACACCGAUGGCGAAGGCGGCUUACUGGACUGUAACUGACGUUGAGGCUCGAAAGCGUGGGGAGCAAACAGGAUUAGAUACCCCAGUAGUC